rnacentral:lncRNA from 1 species
CCGCUAGAAAAUAUAGUGCGUUGCCACGCCACAGUAGGUCACAACUCUAUCUAACGCAUGCGCAGUAAUAUUAUAUUCAGGUGUUUCUCUCAUGAGCAGGACCCGAUUCAUGAACUAUACGUGUUUUAUUUUAAGCGUCAUUAAAUGUCUCGCUUUUGACAACUGGACAAUUUCGAGUGAAUGAAAAUGUGGAUUGAGAAGACAACAAGGACAGUGAGGACGGAUCUUCCUUUGAUGUAACAGUGCUGGACUUUGACCUCUGAGGGUGCAGCUCUUGUUGACCACGAAGAGCAAAAUUCCACACAGUAAGU